rnacentral:rRNA from 1 species
UACGGGGGGGGCAAGCGUUGUUCGGAAUUACUGGGCGUAAAGGCUCGUAGGUGGCCAACUAAGUCAUACGUGAAAUCCCUCGGCUUAACCGGGGAACUGCGUCUGAUACUGGAUGGCUUGAGGUUGGGAGAGGGAUGCGGAAUUCCAGGUGUAGCGGUGAAAUGCGUAGAUAUCUGGAGGAACACCGGUGGCGAAGGCGGCAUCCUGGACCAAUUCUGACACUGAGGAGCGAAAGCCAGGGGAGCAAACGGG